rnacentral:lncRNA from 1 species
GGCAACCCGCUCCUGUUGCCUUCCACGCCAUGGAAGGUUUGUUCUUUCGCUCUUUGCAAUAAGUUCUGUUGCUGCUCACUCUUUGGAUCCACCAUGCGUUUAUGAGCUGUAACACUCAUUGCGAAGGUCUGCAGCUUCAGUCCUGAAGCAGCGAGACCACGAACCCACCGGGAGGAACGAACAACUCCAGAUGCGCCGCCUUAAGAGCUGUAAGACUCACCGCGAAGGUCCGCAGCUUCACUCCUGAGCCAGCGAGACCACGAACCCCACCAGAAGGAAGAAACUCCGCACACAUCGGAACAUCAGAAGGAACAAACUCCGGACACACUGCCUUUAAGAACUGUAACACUGCGAGGGUCCGCGGCUUCAUUCUUGAAGUGAGUGAGACCAAGAACCUACCAAUUCUGGACACAAUAUCACAUGAGCUCCAAUGUGGUAUCGAGAUGAAGGGGAAAAGGGAAAUGGGGAAAUUUUUUGCUGGGGGUGUUCCCAGAUGAAUUCUUUGCUUUAUGUGCUUAGAACUCCUUGCUUUUGUAGGUGGACGUGUGGUAAAAUGUGUUAUAUUUGCAGCCAUUGUACAGCUAUGCCAUUGUGGAGAAUCUUAGGCUUCUUGUGGGGAAAGUAUCUGGGAGCUUGUGUGUUGGUCACAUUUCUAUCAUGUCAUGUCUGAGAUGCCUCCCUGGAAGUGAAGACAGCCGUAUCAGAAGUACUGAUCCAGCACUGGAUGGGAAUCUCACACACACAUGCACACACACACGCACACCCCGCAUACCUGCUAGGGGCUGACAGCAUAUGCUUUGAUGUGCAUUGGCACGGAUGAGUCAAUACGCUUGUUGAAACCAGAGAGAAAAAUAUGUCAUGUUUUUCCCAAACGGUGUUAAGAAAGUACAAAUAAAAAGAAAAGCAUUCAAACUGAC